ACUGGCUUUUCUUUGUGUGGC
rnacentral:piRNA from 1 species